UGUUCUGUUGGGUGACAUACUGAAGUAGCCUGAGUCACUUCCAGAUGAAGAAUAGCUUAUGCUGGAUGGCAUACUGGAGCCUGAGUCAGACACAGUAUAGGUUCUGUACCUUGGCCCUCCCCAGUGUCCUGGAAUAAAAACAACGCAUAUAACCUUAUCAGGAGAGAAUCUACUUUUGCUGUUUGUUAAAUACCCCUCACAAGAGUACCUAUGUGAGGUACUUGCAAGUGUUUGCUUCUUGUCUUAGUUGCUUAUUUGAAACACAGGAGCCAUAAUUAUUAUAUAUCAAUCUUUCAGAGACAAAGGGCAUUACCAUAAGUAUCUUGCCCUAGGCAGGAUCGUAACGACACAUUGUUCCACGCAUUCUCAGCGACAUAUUUUACACACCAUCAUGAUAAUUUCUAGGGUGUGUUUUUUAAGCAAGGAAACAACCUUGUACAGUGGGACAAAAACUUUAAUUCCUGUGUUAGUUACACCACCCCUUUGUUGUCUGAAAAUUGUCUCUGAAGAUGUCUGUUUGCACUAGAUGUGUUGCUCCAAAGCCAUUCUCCUAAAGCGCUGUUGUGUUUGCCUACAGAAGCUGUGCAGCAUGAAGGUGGAUGCUGUCUCUGAACCCAUAUCCAAGUGAGUAUAAUUUCUUGAAAAGCAGACUUACCAUCAGGAGGAGGACCACGAGGCGUACUGGCUCCUUGGGGUUGAAAGAGAAAGGCAGAAGGCCCUGUUCAGAGGAAGGAAAUUUACUUCAGAGCAGGUACAUUUUUAAAAGCAAGGAAAUACAAGAAACUGAAAUGGUUAUGGUUGGAAGGAAAAGCUAUUACAAAAAUGUGAAUGGUUUAUAAGAGAAAGAAAGGAAGAACCCUUUGGUUCUUAAAAAAAAGAAAGAAAAAAACCCCCCCGCUAUUCAAAAAAAAACAAACCCCCACCCACUCACCAUGACCACUCCCCAAAAGCAAAACAAUCCAAGCAACCCAGCAGCUAAACUCAGGGCAAUAUCAAAAUUAUCAAAGCAAAUGAAGGACUCGUUAUAAAAGGAAUCCUCCAGCAGUAAUUUUAAUCUCUGUGUUAGCUUUCAGCAUCCCCUUUCUGUUCUGAAGAGCACCUUCGAAUGUUUCUGUUUGCGCUAACUUUAUUGCUCCAUUAUGGUUCCCAUUAAGUGUUGUUGUAUUUGCCUACAGAAGCUGAGCAGCAGGAAGGGAGUUGCUGUUGAGGAAGGCAGACCCCGGUGACUACAAUUGCUUGAAAAACAGACUUACCAGCAGGAGGAAGAGGAGAAGGAAGAGGAGCACGAGCUGGAGGUGCACGAAGAGCUUGGGAGGGAAUAGGAAUACAAAUAUACUCCGGUCAGAGACAGCAAAAUUACUUCAGAAGAGAAGCUGUGCAGCAUGAAGGUGGAUGCUGUCUCUGAACCCAUAUCCAAGUGAGUAUAAUUUCUUGAAAAGCAGACUUACCAUCAGGAGGAGGACCACGAGGCGUACUGGCUCCUUGGGGUUGAAAGAGAAAGGCAGAAGGCCCUGUUCAGAGGAAGGAAAUUUACUUCAGAGCAGGUACAUUUUUAAAAGCAAGGAAAUACAAGAAACUGAAAUGGUUAUGGUUGGAAGGAAAAGCUAUUACAAAAAUGUGAAUGGUUUAUAAGAGAAAGAAAGGAAGAACCCUUUGGUUCUUAAAAAAAAGAAAGAAAAAAACCCCCCCGCUAUUCAAAAAAAAACAAACCCCCACCCACUCACCAUGACCACUCCCCAAAAGCAAAACAAUCCAAGCAACCCAGCAGCUAAACUCAGGGCAAUAUCAAAAUUAUCAAAGCAAAUGAAGGACUCGUUAUAAAAGGAAUCCUCCAGCAGUAAUUUUAAUCUCUGUGUUAGCUUUCAGCAUCCCCUUUCUGUUCUGAAGAGCACCUUCGAAUGUUUCUGUUUGCGCUAACUUUAUUGCUCCAUUAUGGUUCCCAUUAAGUGUUGUUGUAUUUGCCUACAGAAGCUGAGCAGCAGGAAGGGAGUUGCUGUUGAGGAAGGCAGACCCCGGUGACUACAAUUGCUUGAAAAACAGACUUACCAGCAGGAGGAAGAGGAGAAGGAAGAGGAGCACGAGCUGGAGGUGCACGAAGAGCUUGGGAGGGAAUAGGAAUACAAAUAUACUCCGGUCAGAGACAGCAAAAUUACUUCAGAAGAGAAGCUGUGCAGCAUGAAGGUGGAUGCUGUCUCUGAACCCAUAUCCAAGUGAGUAUAAUUUCUUGAAAAGCAGACUUACCAUCAGGAGGAGGACCACGAGGCGUACUGGCUCCUUGGGGUUGAAAGAGAAAGGCAGAAGGCCCUGUUCAGAGGAAGGAAAUUUACUUCAGAGCAGGUACAUUUUUAAAAGCAAGGAAAUACAAGAAACUGAAAUGGUUAUGGUUGGAAGGAAAAGCUAUUACAAAAAUGUGAAUGGUUUAUAAGAGAAAGAAAGGAAGAACCCUUUGGUUCUUAAAAAAAAAAGAAAGAAAAAACCCCCCCGCUAUUCAAAAAAAACCAAACCCCCACCCACUCACCACGACCACUCCCCAAAAGCAAAACAAUCCAAGCAACCCAGCAGCUAAACUCAGGGCAAUAUCAAAAUUAUCAAAGCAAAUGAAGGACUCGUUAUAAAAGGAAUCCUCCAGCAGUAAUUUUAAUCUCUGUGUUAGCUUUCAGCAUCCCCUUUCUGUUCUGAAGAGCACCUUCGAAUGUUUCUGUUUGCGCUAACUUUAUUGCUCCAUUAUGGUUCCCAUUAAGUGUUGUUGUAUUUGCCUACAGAAGCUGAGCAGCAGGAAGGGAGUUGCUGUUGAGGAAGGCAGACCCCGGUGACUACAAUUGCUUGAAAAACAGACUUACCAGCAGGAGGAAGAGGAGAAGGAAGAGGAGCACGAGCUGGAGGUGCACGAAGAGCUUGGGAGGGAAUAGGAAUACAAAUAUACUCCGGUCAGAGACAGCAAAAUUACUUCAGAAGAGAAGCUGUGCAGCAUGAAGGGAGCUGCUGACUAGGAACCCAGAUCCCAGUGACUACAAUUGCUUGAAAAACAGACACCAGCAGGAGGGAGAGCAGGAAUAGCAGGAGGUGAACCAGCUGCUUCAGAAGCUGAGCAGCAGGAAGGGAGCUGCUGGCUAGGAACCCACAUCCCAGUGACUUGCUUGAAAAAGCAGACUUACGAUCUUCACUAGGAGUAAGAGCCUCAACAGCUGUUAUGGGUUGAAAUUGAAACUGCGGAGAGUCUCUUCCUGUUAAUGCCUCAACUUUGGAAGAUGCCAGUGAGUAGAGAUCCACAAAAUUUCUAAGCACGUGCUUUAAAUAAAAGUAGAAGGAAUCAUUAGUGACAGGCAAGCUACGCUUAAAUGCCAAAUAGCACACAUCCAAAUUUUUUACAAAAGACAGAAUUUUUUUCAGCAGAGAAAUCAAAUAGAGUUUGUAAGCUAGGCAGAAUGUCAGUCCCAGGACUAAAACAUCAAAAAUAUCUCACACUGGGUUUUGUGUUUUUUCUAAAAUGUUGAAUAUUAAUGUCAUUGAGGAAAAGGGAAUUACUCCACCCCCUAGUUAGAAGAUGCUUUGAUGAGGUGUUUUCAAGCAUGCAGUACAGCACUGAGCUCUUUAUACAACUUUCUUGUUUUAUUUCAAUACAAGAUUCACUGCAGGUUCAAUUUCUGUUCACAAAAAAUUACCACACAGUUUCAGGAUAAUGUUCAUACUUCCAAGAUUAGUCAAUUUACUAAUCUUUUCGCUCCACAGCAAAAAAAUUAACUUGGCAGUAACAAAAGAAACAUCAGAAACCUACAGACUUCUGAAAACAAAUAAUCUGAUUGCACUAUAACUGGAAAAAUGUAACAGUUUCCAUGUAUGCAGCGGAAGAAUGUCCCAAUUUUGUUAUAUUGAUUGUAUUGAUGAUCAAUUUAGAAGCACAAGAAAGCACAGAUGAUUUGGCAGUACUGGUAACUUUAUAUCUACCCCAACUAGUCUCGACUAACUGUUGAAAUGAUUGAUCUUCUUUACAAUGGUUAAUCACAUUUAUAUGUUCUGUUUUUCCUUUCAGAUAGUAUGACUUUGGUCUUUUGAAUGUAAACUUGUGAUACAGACAAAAAUCAGCUUAGCAUCACAAACAGGGGUUUGCAAAGAUUUCUGCAGUUUUCCUUUCAUUGGUUUCACAUUGCUGAUUUUCAGAAUAGAUGUUAACACAGCUAAAAUCAAUAGGUUGUAGUGUCUAGGAAACAGAAGUGGCAAAUUAACCAAUAUCACAUCUUUUCUCAUCAGAAAGAAUCUCCAAAAACAUCUUGGUGCUGUGGUUCUAGUCCUAAAAGAGGAUUCUUGCAGAUUAUAAGGCUUUUAAUUGAAAUGUGCUCAUCACAGGCUAACUAAGGCAGUUCUAGAGGAUGUGCCUGCAAACAACUCCACUGCUUUUAAUGACAAGUGUCCCUAAAGUCAUUCCUAACUGCUUACCUCAGUCAAGAUUGCAGGAUUGCCCUUAAUACAGUUUGGCACAGAGUAAAACUAAAAUCCAUUAGGUGACCUCUGUCCAUAAAGGGCAAAUUUUGUAAUAAAACCCCAAUAAGGAGCUUGGAAAGGAAUCAAACAGGAACUAGAAAUGAGGGCUGAGGAGAGAGGGAGGGAAAAGGGGGAAACAGAGAUGGGGAUAGGGAGAAAGAGGAAAAGGGAUGGGGAAAAGGAAGUUCACAGUGGCACAUUCUGUGAGCCAUUGGUGCUGUUUGUCCUGAGUUGCCAAGUGCACCUGAGGCUGCCAGGUGAACAAGAACUUUGCAAUUCUGCCCCACCAGCGAGCUCCCCUGUACUCGAGCACAUACUGUACUAUGUUAUUUAUACAACAAACACUUUGUGCAAAUAUGAAAUGCAACUUUUUGUGUUUAUGAUUCUCUUCUGAAGAGAAAGAGAGAAUAGGCUGCAGAUGCUUCUGCGAUCAUUGUGAGGUCAAAAAAAUGGGAGUUGGGAUAAAUGGCUAAAAAAAAAGAAAAAAAAGAAGCAACAUUCACUACCAAAUUAGAAAAGCAGGAUUUAGAAGCUGGCAGUUGCCACAAUGCCUUCUGCAGAAAGAUGCCACCUGUGGGACCUUUUGUGCAGCUCUAAAAUGGAUCAUCACUGUACUGGGGAAACAUUUUUAAUUCUACCCUUUGAUGGAUAAGCUCAUUUGUGCUAAUUAAGCUUCAUGGGAAUCUCAAGGCAUUACAUAUUCCAUAUUUCCAUAUUUUAGUGUGGAAACAUGAUAAUGCACACAUAAUUUAUAUCUUUAUCAUACUGAAAUAUAUGUAUGCAUGCAAGAGGGCAACAGUGAAAAAUUUCCAGUUUAGAACCUGCCAUUUUUGAAUGCUUGAUUCUGUGACCCUGAUCCUGCAAUUAUAUACUGCAUUAGAACAGAAGAAAAUCUACAAUAAGUGGAAAGGAAUUACUGCAGAAGCUCACACACUGUAUGCAAUACUUUGCCUAAGUUUCCUUGCAAUUGACUUGUUUACCUGCUCUCUCACUGAUUCAGACAGAGAAGCACAAUAAAAGAAAUAUGUACUCACUCUGCCUUUUGUUCUCUCAUUGGGAAAAAAAGUCAGUCUUGGCGCUAAUA